AGGAUCUCUGUUGAAGACAUCAUCUUCCUGAUUCGAAAAGACCCAAAGAAAUAUUCCCGCGUAAAAGAACUUCUGAUGAUGAAUGAGGAACUGAGAAAAGCCAGAAAGGCCUUUGAUGAAAUUAAAUAUGCGACAACCAAAUGAAAAGAUGUCUUUCGAUUCUUGAAGGAGAACAUAGUUCCUUUAAUUAUGGAAUUUGGUUCUGAAAGAGCAUGGAUGUUGUAUGAACUUGCCUGGGCCUGUUUGUAAUUUGAUUUGUUUGGGUAGAAGAUGAAUAUUCAUGAAAUUGACAUAUUUUAAAAUGUUUACAUGCUGUUUAUUACAGCAGUAAGCUUUUCUUUCAUUGUUAUUUUUUUUUUAAACAUAUAUCAUCAUUGGGAAAAGUAAACUGAUAUGAACUCUUUUUACUAUUUAAGUAACAUUUUAUAUAAAACAAUUUAAAUAAACUGAUUUACC
rnacentral:misc_RNA from 1 species